AGGCUGUGCUACCAUAUUGUUUCUUAGAGUCAAGUACUUUUCUUUGUCUUUUCUUGAGGGGAGAUUAAUUAAUCGACACGCGAAAGUUCCUUCUUUUAACAUUUUCUCCUGAAUGUGCUCGAAAAAGGAAAUAUUUCAGUGGUUAUUCGGUAUAUGUUCGCAAAGUUACAGCGUCCAUUUAAUGGACGCACGGAUUCCCGCGAAAGUACCGUACUUUCCAAUCGUAACUCGUAUUUCUCGAAAGGCGCAGAGAAGGAUUGUUCAAGACAGAAACACGAUUUUUACAUAACGCCCUUGCGGACAAAAUAUAUUUGUGAUUUUUCUUUAUUAACGAGUUAAUCCAUCAUAAUUGAUAUUCGCAGAAGAAAUGAAAUACGCUUUUCGACGCCUAUGGUCAUUAUCGUCGCUCUCGACCGGGAUCGAUUUCGCAACGGUGUCGGUUACGUGCCUGUUUCAAGAACGAAAAAACGCGAGAUCCGGGGCGAAUUCGGUGUCGCACGAACGCGGUCAAUUAACUUUUUUUGUGCGUAAUGGAAAAACAGAAGCAUCAGUGGCGACGAGACAAGGGUAUAAUAUUGACGAGCAGUGACGUCACGCGGCGCCCCGUUGUCGGAUUAUACGCACAGCAUCCCCUUCUCUUUUGGCACGUCCGGCCGAACACCCACGCGUGCUUUUAAUGCUACCCGUGUCAUGCUAAAUAUUGCACUUACCCUCCAACGGGAUGAUUAAAGUUUAUUUUUGCGCGGGGAUUCAUAAUUGAGUUACGGUGGAGAUAGAAUAAUUUCAUGAGAUUAUUCUCGUAGAUCCGUUUAUGCCAAAGUCCAUUACGAGUAUUUUAAACUAAAUUUACAUUUUUGUAUAAGAUCUAUUUUUUAAUAGAUUAUUAUAUUUCUUAUAUUUUUAUUAUAUCUGUACUUAUUUAUAUAUUUUAUUUCUAUAUAUAUAAUUUCUAAUAUUACAAUAUUUUUAAUUAUUACAUAUGUUGAAGUUAAGUAGAUAAGAAUAGGUAUAAUAUAGAUAAAAGAAAAAAAUAUUGAUGAAGCUUCAUUAUAAAUGAUUCAUUUAUUUCAAUUAUAUUCGUUUGGAAGAGUUUUUAGACAAUAGUUUGAAAAUUUAAAGAAAUCAAGUAAGAUGAUAAAAUUUAAAAUCAAAUAUUUUUUUGCUUUUUAUUAAUAAAAAAAUUAUAUAAUAAAAUCAGAUAGAAUUAAACUUUAAUAAUAAAUUAUCUAAUGAAAGAUAUUAAAUUCUUCUAAAUUCAUAAUUUUAUUUGAACCAAUAUAAAACCAAGAUAGUUUUUGAAGUGCAAAGCAGCUUUAUCUUUGAAAAAAUUCUUGAACAAUUUUUAGUAAUCAAUGGAAGCAAAUUUGAACUUAGAAAGAUAAAUCGUAAUAUUUAUCGGUCGCUUAUGAUAAAUUCACGUCAUGAUAAAGCGGAAAAGAAAAAAAACUAAUACUGAAAGAAACAGCUGUUACUAUACUAACAUUAAUCGGUGAAAUCGCGUGACAAUGUGCAAAGUACAAGUUUCUGUUUAUCGAAAGUUAUGUCUGUAUUCCCUUCUGUCGAUAAUGUAGAUCACUAUUUUUUUAAUGUUUACGUUAUUGUUUAUUAUUUUUAAUGCAACAAGUUGUAAUACAUUGUUAGUUUUUCGUAAAUAUGAUAUUCUUCAAAUAUGAUUUUUUUAAUUUUAAUUUACUUUGAAAUGAUAAUCGUUUUUUUAUUUUAUUUUAUAUACAAUGUUUAUGUAUAUUAUUUAUAUAUAUUUCAUGCAAUAUAUUAUUAUUACUUAUUCUAAAGAUAUAUAAAUUUCUUAUAUACGAAUUAUUUAUAAAUUAAAAAUAUUUAAAAGUAAACAGAAUUAGACGCUAAGAAUGUAACCUUGAAUAAAAUAUAAUUCAUAAUGUUAUAGAGCGCAACAUAUGGCGCAAGCAGUUUGAAGUUUCUAACCUCACUUUGUUUUUCAAUAGAAACUUUGAUAGAUUUUAUAUAACAUUAAAUACAUUGGAGAUCUCGGUUUUUACUAAAAAAAAAAGAAUAUUUGGAAUAUUCUCGAGAUUUCCUGUUUCCUCUUCAUAACUAAAAGGUACAAUUAAAAACGUGAUAUUUUAAUACGUCGUAUUAAACAAGACACGUGUUUUUUUCGCAACAGUAUUGCAACGUAUAUGAUAUCAAAAUAUAAAUAUAUUUUAAAUAAGACAAGAAAAAAUUUAUAUAAAGUAUUGCACAAUUUGUAAAUAUAUUUUACGUGUAUUUUAUCAGAUAUUAUUAUUAUUGAAAUUUUUAUUUGAUUUUGAAUCAAUACGCGCAUCAUAUAAUUCAAUAUAUAAAAUAUUUAUAUCGAUGUUAUUUUAUUAUCUAUAAAAAAUUUAUUUUUCUCGUUAUAUAUAUUAAAAUAUAUUAGAAUAUAUCGUGUUAAAAUAUUUGAUCAUAAUAAAGUGAAUUUUAUAUUUCAUAUACAACUUUAUUUAUAUGAUUUUUAAAUAUUAAUUGAGAAUCUAAUAAAUAAUUAUUAUUAAUUUAAAAAAUUUUUGCAACUGAUAUGUAAAUUUAAACGUCCGAAAAAUGAGAACAUAGCAUACAAAAGUGUUAUUGUAUUUUCAUGUAAGUUUAAUAUGUAAAAUAGAGUAUCAAUAACAGACCAUGUCAACUAGCAUGAGUAGAGAUGUUAUACAAGUCGCGCAUAGAUAUGAGAAUCAGAGCUCGGUAGAUUCAUAACCGUAACUUGACUCGUCUUCGGUACUAUCGUCUCGUUGUAAACAAGUCUAAGCAGUCCAGUGUGCCUGCCGGCGCUAUGUAGGUUACUAUCGCAACGGUCUGCGCCUCCUCGACCCGCCUUUAAGGUCGUUUACAGCCAGUAACCCGAAUCCACUUCUUCUCAUCAUUUUCUUUCUUUUUCUCACUUCUUUUUUCGCUCUUUUACCGUUUUUCGUAAUCCUUUUGAAUGAUUGUUUUAUGUCAAAAAAUAGACAAGUUUAGUUCGACAUUAUUGCAGUGAUUUCUAAGUAAAACUAUUGCUCUGGCUUUUAAAUUACUUGAUUACAUAGAGAAAGUUUAAACUUUCUGAAAAUUUUAAAAUAAAAAUCAAGAACACAAUUAAAAUUUUUUGAAAUUAGAAAAAAUAUUAUAAUUAUAUGUUGAUUCUCUUUAUUGUAUGAAACUGUUGUUACUUAAAUUACAGUUUUUUCUAAUAUAAAAUUAAAUGAGAUUAUUUACAUUAAAAUAUUUUAUAAUAUUCGAUUAAAUAUUUAUUCGCGAUAUUCCUACAACCAUUUGCAAUAAUUUUGCAAUAAUUUUGCAAUAUAUAUAUGCAAGAGGCAUUACGCAUAGCGACCGCGUAACGCGUUUUUCGUACGAUUCCUUUUUCCACCGGUAGCGCACGCGCUGAUUAACCUCGUGGUUGGUUCCGAUGUGCUUAGCCAAUGUUGUAGCAGCGCCGUUAGCUACAUGACGAUUUUUUGUAGUGGUAGUGCCACGUAUACAUAUGCGUGCACUGUUGCACACUAUUCAAUGCGCUCCAAGAAUUACCAAGUAGUGGAGUGUCACGUGACACCGUCUUGUGGGUAUAUAAAGACGACCGAUUGCUGGUGGAAUCAGCCACUUGCGAACUGGCUCCGAGGUUCGUGUUAUGGCUCGUUCUUUUGAUACUAACUAAAAAUUUCGGUUUAAGAUUGUUUAUCUUAAAGUAAGAGAAUCAUCGAAGAAAUUAUUUCCUAUUGUAUUACUUACGAUACUAUUGAGAAAAAAGUGAAAAAAGAAUCGUAUAUAUACAUAAACAAAUAGCGAAUUAUAAAAAAAGCUCAUGGGAAAAUUAUUUGAGGUAGGUCAUUGAUUUCAAUGACGAAUAGAAAAGUGACGUAGCCCGAUUGCUUGAUCGUCAUAGAGAAAUGGACAACACGCAUGCGCGAAACGUUGCCCCUAUAGCAAGAAGUUCUAGAUGUGUAUAUCGCGAAUGCGCAUGCCUACAGAUCAUAGAAAUAUAUAUAGAUGUGAAUAUAAAUAUACAUAUAUGAAUACACGACAUAUAAUAAUAACAUGUAAAUAUAUAUAUGUGAAUUUUGAGAUUUUAUAAUCAAUAUAAUCAAGAAUUGACUAGAUUAUCUAUAAAAAAACGAGUCGAGUAAGGUAUACAUAUUUUCAAAGUGGAAAGAGAGUUACCACGAUACCACGAUAAAGAUCUCAUUUAUGCGCAUGUAUUUGUUACGUCUGGUAAAAUAUGUGAACGUCCUACACUGAAAGAGAGAGAUAGAGAGAAAGACGCAUGUGUCAGAGUCUGUGCAUCGGUUCCAAGGCCCUCUCCGAGCACUGCCUCCCGAGGAUUUCAACUUCUUUUUGUCCGGCGUUCAAGGUGAACCCGUACAAGAAAAAAAUUCCUACGUUCUCCUGAUUGUCAGAUAGCAAUGCGGGACAGAAAAUAUACUGACCUACUGACUUUUUCAUAAGGGAUUUCCGGUAUUAGUUUUCAAUUGCUAUGUGUUAUAAUAAUAACUACUGAUUGUCAUCAUCCAAUUACAAGAUUAUUAAAAAUCUUGUUAAGUUUUGUAAAUCAUUCGUUACACAUGCAUAUAGAAUCUUGAAAUCAUUACUUCAACAAUUAAUUAAAUAUUAAAAACUACAAAUUUCAUUAUCAAAAUUCA